GACCAGCAGUCUGGCGUGAGUUUUUUUCUGCGACCGUUAUUUUGCAAUCAGUCGCGUUCUAAUUUCCAUGGAGACGCAUGAACCUUGUCAUGUGACAUUUCAGUCAAAAUGGCGCGCACACAAUGGAUAACCGUCUGCAGAACAGCCGCGUGACAAUCGGUGCAUCUCCCCCAGAAAUGCCGCGUGACAAUCGGCUUAAUAAUGCUUCAGUGUGUGGUACUCCUCAAAACACGGGACAGCACACAAGGGAGUGUUGCAUGGCACACACAUGUGCUUGGUGAGGCGCCUCUGCUUGCCCUUGCGUGUGCUGGAGAGGCAGACCUUGCAGUGCCGCCUGGUCUUGCUGCCCUGGGAAGUGGUCUGAGGGACUUCAGAUGGGAAAUGCCUGGCUGUAAGGCGCAGAGGAGUGUCCAAGGCAGGACGCCCGCCUUUGGUUGGACCUCGCAAUGUGCUGUACUCCUCCAGCAGCCCUCUCAUCAGCACACAGACUGGCUUCAUCAUUGGUUGCCCAGUGAGGUGAUCCAGCUUGCCUGUGGCUGCCAUACCAGUUGGAUGGACUGUGGUGAACUUUGGCAUCCCUUUUCUGUUUCCGCGCACAGUCCCACAAGCUCCAGUGCCAAGUGACAAGAGGUGCUGGAAAAGUGUGGGACUACUGUACCAGUUGUCAACAUAUAGAACAUGACAUUUGCUUACGUAAGGUGCUAAGAGUGUCAUCACAACGGACCCAGAAAUCCCAAGUCCUGGGUAAUGUUGGAUGUCAGUGGAGGAUCCGGUGUAAAUGAUCAUGUCCUCCACAUAACCAGUUAGCACAUCACACAAAACAAAAAACUUGAUCCCAAAUCUGUGCCGUUUGGAUGGAAUGAACUGACGAAAUGCCAGCCUGCCUUUCCACUUCAUCAGAGACUCAUCCACACACAGAUCCCUGUAUGGCACAAAAAUGCGACGAAAAGAGGAGGAACUGGUGUCAUCUCUUCAUCUUCAAAGUUGUCCAGAGCUUCAAGAUUUGGGGGAAGAUCCUCAUCACUGUCACUCUCUGCCUCGCUGUCAAAAAUCUCCUCAUCAGAAUUAAAAAAAAAUGUCC